rnacentral:rRNA from 1 species
CCUACGGGAGGCAGCAGUGGGGAAUAUUGGACAAUGGGCGCAAGCCUGAUCCAGCCAUCCCGCGUGAAGGAUGACGGUCCUAUGGAUUGUAAACUUCUUUUAUACAGGGAUAAACCUCUCCUCGUGAGGAGAGCUGAAGGUACUGUAUGAAUAAGCACCGGCUAACUCCGUGCCAGCAGCCGCGGUAAUA